UAGAGUUUGAUCCUGGCUCAGGAUGAACGCUAGCUACAGGCUUAACACAUGCAAGUCGAGGGGAAACGGCAUUGAGUGCUUGCACUCUUUGGACGUCGACCGGCGCACGGGUGAGUAACGCGUAUCCAACCUUCCCAUUACUGUGGGAUAACCUGCCGAAAGGCAGACUAAUACCGCAUAGUCUUCGAUGACGGCAUCAGAUUUGAAGUAAAGAUUUAUCGGUAAUGGAUGGGGAUGCGUCUGAUUAGCUUGUUGGCGGGGUAACGGCCCACCAAGGCGACGAUCAGUAGGGGUUCUGAGAGGAAGGUCCCCCACAUUGGAACUGAGACACGGUCCAAACUCCUACGGGAGGCAGCAGUGAGGAAUAUUGGUCAAUGGACGGAAGUCUGAACCAGCCAAGUAGCGUGCAGGAUGACGGCCCUAUGGGUUGUAAACUGCUUUUGUAUGGGGAUAAAGUUAGGGACGUGUCCCUAUUUGCAGGUACCAUACGAAUAAGGACCGGCUAAUUCCGUGCCAGCAGCCGCGGUAAUACGGAAGGUCCAGGCGUUAUCCGGAUUUAUUGGGUUUAAAGGGAGCGUAGGCUGGAGAUUAAGUGUGUUGUGAAAUGUAGACGCUCAACGUCUGACUUGCAGCGCAUACUGGUUUCCUUGAGUACGCACAACGUUGGCGGAAUUCGUCGUGUAGCGGUGAAAUGCUUAGAUAUGACGAAGAACUCCGAUUGCGAAGGCAGCUGACGGGAGCGCAACUGACGCUUAAGCUCGAAGGUGCGGGUAUCAAACAGGAUUAGAUACCCUGGUAGUCCGCACAGUAAAC
rnacentral:rRNA from 1 species